rnacentral:tRNA from 1 species
GGCAACCUGGCCGAGCGGUCUAAGGCGCCAGGUUAAGGUCCAUCCUGGUCUCUUCGGAGGCGAGAGUUCGAAUCUCUCGGUUGUCA